rnacentral:ribozyme from 1 species
AAUAUGAUUUUUAAAUUUUUUUAAUCCAAAGCGUCAUGAGUUAGUUGGAAAGAUAAUAACAUUUAGACUAUUAGAAGCAACUUGUUUAUUUCAUUCUAUUUACCGCCAGGUUUUCAAU